CCUGGGUCCAGGAUUUCCCCUCCCUGGAGGUCUUCAUGCAAAAGCUGGUUGCUUGCGCAGGACUUCAGAUUCUUAGUCCAGUACAGGUUGGCUCAGAUGGCCUCUGAGGGUCCCAUGGUGCUGAUAUCUUUGACCUUGCUGGUACAGGUACUGUCCCUCCCGGUCAUUGAGCCCAACCCUUCUACGACAGGCAGUCUUGAGAGUAUGCAUGGCUGGAAAGUUACCAUCAUUCCGAAGAAGAGCUCCUCUGCCCUUCACUGGCAGGCCCUCCAAUAACGGAAAGAAUCUAUCCCUGGGUCUGCGUCCUCAGUGGCAGGGCCACCGAGAACCCAGCAGCACCUGCAUCCCACAAGAGGGAAGACUCCAGCAUAGCCUUUUAGAAUCUGCCCUCCUGACUGAACACAAAGCCCAGCCCACUCCCACCAUCAUCCAAGCCACUAUGGAGCCUACUCCAUUAACGGAAAGUGAAGUUGGAGCAAGGAGGUCACUGUGUAGAAGAUAUUACCAAGGAGAGAAACGGAACAGGGAGAGGAUAGAUGAAUAAAAACAAGUCAAUGAGGUUGGCUUUGAGAGGCCAGCUCCUGGCAUCUGGUGACACCAGGUUAUAUGAAGACACAUCAGUUUCUCCUAUCAGCUAAGGGCCCUUUCCAGGGGCUGACACUGUCAUGAAAUCAUCCUUCAAAUGGGACUUCAGGGAGAUACAAGUCUGGUUUUGUGACGCCCACAGGGAGUACCUGAUGUUCUCAAUUCUGAAAACAAAGGCAAUUUCAUUUUAUUUGAAUGAAAAACUAAAUUUAUGCCUCUCACAGCA
rnacentral:lncRNA from 1 species